CGAGGACCGCAGGCAGGAGCAGUAGAGACCUGAGUCUUCUGGGACUACUGGGGUGAUGUGGGCGUUGUCCGUCUGCCUCAAGUCAUUACUUCGCAGAGAGGUCGGCUUGUCGCUUCUCUCUUCACAGGAGCAGCCUUGGGGCUCCAAAGAAAGCAUUCUUUCAGGAUCACGCCAAACUUUUGACAACAGUCCGUGGAUCGGCUGUAGGAGAGCCCGCCUCCUCUGUCUUAUGAUUGGUUGUUAGGCCUCGUGGGGCGCGGUCUCCCUGUGGCUGGUUGGCUAAUAGAUGGCGCAGCGGGCCAAUUAGCUUGAGUGAGACAGCGGGUGUUUCUGGGAGUUGUGGUCCGCAGGGCUGCCUCGCUUCCGGGUGGGAGGGACUGGCGCCGCGGUGGGAAGGUGCAGAGCAUUCAGGCCAGCCCCGCGCGGCACACGACUGUGGUGUCUGGUGACUGCUGGUUGGGAGGCCCCGGAAACACUUCUCCUCCCCUAGGCUGGAGGGCACUAGGAGGUCGCAGGUGCUGAGUUGCCAGGGCCUUUGGGCUGUGCUGAAGGGAAAAAGCACAGCCACUGUCGGGAGCGUGUGCUGCGGAGGUGGUUGCCGUCGUGAUGUUCGCUCCGUCUAGCCCCUGCCGGGGAUGCAGCCAACCAACCCUCAACAGCCGGCGGCGUUCUCUGGCCCGGCGCGGAGCUGAGCACCACUGAGCCCUCAUCGUAGGGCACCGAGUUCCGGACUCCUCCAGCCGCUUGUCCAGGCCCCUCCUGCCUUAGCACGGAGCUCCCUUGAUUGCUCCAAACAGCCCAGACCGGCGCCUUUUUUGGACGAUUUAAAACGGGGCAAUCCGUUGCCAGCGAUUGGCUGGCAAUGGUCACAUGACCCUGUACGGGCCAGGGAGAGGUAGGAGCCGCUGACUGUACCUGGUGCCUGAGGCCACUCCAGUGGUCCCCUCUGGGAGGUGAUGCUUCUGUGCAAAAGCAGCCUGUGAAAGAAUGUCAAGGUCAGCGGAAGAGAGGGCACACGCCUUCCAAGGAGGUGGUGUGGGUUGGGACCCAGUGUCCUGGAAGGGACCUCCUUCAGGCGAGAACUCUUGAAGCCAGAUAGCAUGGAAGAACCUGAGUAUAGAACUUGACACCAAGGAAAGCUCCUCUGUGUCCUUAGUUUCUUAGAUAUGAAAUGUGAACUACAAAUGACAGCAGAAAAUUAACUCCAACUGGACUUGGAGGAUAAAUACACAUACACACACAAUACUAUUUACAUAUAAAACAUUGUGACUCAAAA